UACGUAGGUGGCGAGCGUUGUCCGGAUUUAUUGGGCGUAAAGAGCUCGUAGGCGGCUUGUCGCGUCGUCCGUGAAAACUUGGGGCUCAACCCCAAGCUUGCGGUCGAUACGGGCAGGCUCGAGUUCGGUAGGGGAGACUGGAAUUCCUGGUGUAGCGGUGAAAUGCGCAGAUAUCAGGAGGAACACCGGUGGCGAAGGCGGGUCUCUGGGCCGAUACUGACGCUGAGGAGCGAAAGCGUGGGGAGCGAACAGG
rnacentral:rRNA from 1 species